rnacentral:rRNA from 1 species
UGCUGGAGGUAUCAGAAGUGCGAAUGCUGACAUAAGUAACGAUAAAGCGGGUGAAAAGCCCGCUCGCCGGAAGACCAAGGGUUCCUGUCCAACGUUAAUCGGGGCAGGGUGAGUCGACCCCUAAGGCGAGGCCGAAAGGCGUAGUCGAUGGGAAACGGGUUAAUAUUCCCGUACUUGGUGUUACUGCGAAGGGGGGACGGAGAAGGCUAUGUUGGCCGGGCGACGGUUGUCCCGGUUUAAGCGUGUAGGCUGGUUUUCCAGGCAAAUCCGGAAAAUCAAGGCUGAGGCGUGAUGACGAGGCACUACGGUGCUGAAGCAACAAAUGCCCUGCUUCCAGGAAAAGCCUCUAAGCAUCAGGUAACAUCAAAUCGUACCCCAAACCGACACAGGUGGUCAGGUAGAGAAUACCAAGGCGCUUGAGAGAACUCGGGUGAAGGAACUAGGCAAAAUGGUGCCGUAACUUCGGGAGAAGGCACGCUGACACGUAGGUGAAGUGAUUUACUCAYGGAGCUGAAGUCAGUCGAAGAUACCAGCUGGCUGCAACUGUUUAUUAAAAACACAGCACUGUGCAAACACGAAAGUGGACGUAUACGGUGUGACGCCUGCCCGGUGCCGGAAGGUUAAUUGAUGGGGUCAGCGCAAGCGAAGCUCCUGAUCGAAGCCCCGGUAAACGGCGGCCGUAACUAUAACGGUCCUAAGGUAGCGAAAUUCCUUGUCGGGUAAGUUCCGACCUGCACGAAUGGCGUAAUGAUGGCCAGGCUGUCUCCACCCGAGACUCAGUGAAAUUGAACUCGCUGUGAAGAUGCAGUGUACCCGCGGCAAGACGGAAAGACCCCGUGAACCUUUACUAUAGCUUGACACUGAACAUUGAGCCUUGAUGUGUAGGAUAGGUGGGAGGCUUUGAAGCGUGGACGCCAGUCUGCGUGGAGCCGACCUUGAAAUACCACCCUUUAAUGUUUGAUGUUCUAACGUGGAYCCGURAUCCGGGUUGCGGACAGUGUCUGGUGGGUAGUUUGACUGGGGCGGUCUCCUCCUAAAGAGUAACGGAGGAGCACGAAGGUUGGCUAAUCCUGGUCGGACAUCAGGAGGUUAGUGCAAUGGCAUAAGCCAGCUUGACUGCGAGCGUGACGGCGCGAGCAGGUGCGAAAGCAGGUCAUAGUGAUCCGGUGGUUCUGAAUGGAAGGGCCAUCGCUCAACGGAUAAAAGGUACUCCGG